AUGUGUGUCUUGUUAAAAUAUAUAACUUGGCAGAAUCGCCAUGGUUUUGUCGAGGAGUGCCUCGUCUCUAUCAAAAGAGAAGGAAAGAAAAACCCCCUUCUCUCCCGAGCUUCUGUUCUCAAGAUGGCAGUCUCAACUGAUUGUCACAAAGCCCAGCAAGAUUUCCCCAAAGUCCUGAUUCUAAAACCAAUUUCAUUCCUCGCUCACGUUGGUGAACGACACGUUGCAUCUAACAAAUUCACUUUCUUGAAAGCCUAUGAGUCCUCACUCCCUCUACACCAAUUCUUGUCCACUCACUCUCCCUCUAUAAAAGCCAUCCUUUCCUCUGUUGGCACACCCAUAACCGCUGACAUCCUGCAGCUGUUGCCAGAGGUCGGUGUGGUUGUCACUACUAGUGUCGGACUUAACCAGGUUGACCUCCCUGAGUGCCGCCGGCGUGGUAUUAAGGUUGCCAAUGCAGGCAGUGUUUUUUCAGAUGACGUGGCUGAUUUUGCUGUUGGGUUGUUAAUUGAUGUUUUGAGGAAGGUCUCGGCGAGUGAUGGAUAUGUGAGGAAAGGGCUUUGGGCUACUAAAGGGGACUACCCUCUUGGUUCUAAGUUGGGAGGCAAGCGAAUUGGGAUUGUUGGAUUGGGAAAUAUUGGAUUUGCAGUUGCUAAAAGGUUAGAGGCUUUUGGGUGCAGUAUCUCAUAUAAUUCCAGGAAGAGAAAACCGCAUGUUUCAUACCCUUUCUACGAAAGUGUCUGUGAACUUGCAGCUAAUUGCGAUGUUCUUGUGAUAUGUUGUGAAUUAACUGACCAAACCCGCCACAUGAUCAACAAGGAAGUACUGUCAGCAUUGGGGAAGGAAGGUGUCAUUGUAAAUAUCGGACGCGGGGCUAUCAUCAAUGAGAAGGAAAUGGUGCAGUGUUUGGUGCAAGGAGAGAUUGCUGGCGCUGGUUUAGAUGUGUUUGAAAAUGAGCCAGAUGUUCCUGUGGAGCUCUUUGCAAUGGACAAUGUUGUUCUGUCACCACAUAUUGCCGUCUUUACUCCAGAAUCAUUUUUGGAUUUAAUGGACCUCGUGAUGGGGAAUCUGGAAGCUUUCUUCUCAAAUAAACCACUACUUUCUGAAUAUGGGGAUUGAUGGAUGUUUUAAUUAACUCUUCUAUUUGCAGAUGUUCAAGGUUGCCAUCACUGAGCCUUAUUGUCACCACAAGUGCUGGACUCAACCAAAUCGACUUGCAAGAGUGUCGUAGGAGAGGGAUAUCUGUAGCUUAUGCUGGAAGCCUGUUUUCUGAAGAUGAUGCUGAUAUAGCAGUAGGGCUGUUGAUUGAUGUGCCGAGAAAGAUAUAGACUGGUAAUCGUUAGGAGGCAAGAAAGUUGGGAUCGUUGGACUUGGAAGCAUUGGCCAAGAAGCUGCAAAAGGGCUAGAGCACUUUGGCUGCAAUAUCUUGAACAACUCGAGGACCAAGAAACUGCAAAAGGGCUAGAGCACUUUGGCUGCAAUAUCUUGAACAACUCAAGGACCAAGAAGCUGCAAAAGGGCUAGUUUUAAUCUAUAUAUCAACUGGAUUAUUGAUAUCCUGUUUCUAUGUAUGAUUGAUGGUUGUAAUUUGUUUUUCGUAAAGAUGUUCAAGGUUGUUUCAGUUAGGAGGCAAGAAAGUUGGGAUUGUUGGACUUGGAAGCAUUGGCCAAGAAGCUGCAAAAGGGCUAGAGCACUUUGGCUGCAAUAUCUUGAACAACUCAAGGACCAAGAAGUCAUCUGUGCCCUAUCCAUGCUAUUCAAAUGUCUGUGAACUAGUGGCAAAUUGCGAGGUCCUCAUAAUUUGUUGUGAAUUAAAUGAUCAGACUCGCCACAUGAUUAGCAAGGAAGUGUUAUAGAUGUCGGACGAGGGGCUGUUAUAGAUGGUGAGAUGCUUGAAUGAUGCAAGGAGAGAUCGCAGGUGAUGGAUUGGAUGUGUUUGAGAAUGAGCCUGAUGUUCCAAGUGAGCUCAUUGCAUUAGACAAUGUUGUCCUGUCGCCACAUAGAGCAGUCCACACCGAGGAAACUUUGAUGUCUUUAGUCGAACUUGUGAUGGGGAAUUUGGAAGCUUCCCCCCCCCCCCCAAAUAAACCUUUACUUUCUGCUGUAAUAUUGGAUGGAUGAACAAUACUAUAAUUCUCCCUGUUUGCAGCUGCUGGUUGGUCUGUCAUGAAUUAAUUCUAGUAUUUCGAUA